rfam:Ictidomys tridecemlineatus contig059753, whole genome shotgun sequence.
GGUGCUGUAGCUCAAUGGUAGAGCGCUUGCCUAGCAUGGGUGGCAAUAGGUUUGAUCCUCAGCACCA